UCCCUGAUAGCUCAGUUGGUAAAGAAUCUGCCUGCAAUGCAGAAGACCCCGGUUCGAUUCCUGGGUCGGAA
rnacentral:tRNA from 1 species